rnacentral:lncRNA from 1 species
GUUAGACCUCUAGUCUAAGCUGGCCCACACUGAGCCUGCAGAGAAGCUAAAAUGAGGCUGUGGCUGCUGAGUUUAGUGGCAGGGAUCAUCCUGGGGGUGGCCGGGACCCCCCUGGGAAAAGCCUCAACAGGAAGAGAACGAGCAAAGGAGGAAAAGACAGCAUCGAAUGACGAUGAUAUCCCUAAAACUUCACUCAGUUGUAUUGGUAGCUGCACUAAAUCUCAGAUACACCAUUUGGAUAGUUCUGAGAAAGAAAAAGGAGAAGGAAAAGAACAAACAGAGCCUGAUCCCUACAAAGAGUCCCCAGGUACCCUGGACCUUCAAAGGACCAUCCUCCUCCAGCUGCUUAACCAGACAACAUCUAUGAACAGGAGCUCACAAAUGGAUUUUAUCCUUCGAAAUCUAAAUGGCAGCAGCAUCAGAGAUCUCUGUGAGGGCUGCUGUGAGGAGAGAGAGAAAGAGGAACUAUACCUAAGCAGGCAACCAAGGAAGACACUGAAGGUGAUGAUGUUUCAUAAUGACACUCAUAUUGACUAUCAAGCUAAGAAAGUCACACACCAGGCUGAGAACCUCAGAGAAGGGUGGUGCUCUGGCUGCUGUGAAGACAAUGGAACCCUGGGGGCCCUUGAGAGAAGAGAGGGAGAAGAAGUCAAAGAAGUGCCUCCUAUUAGCACUGAUCAUGGUGGUCAGGUCCUAGGGAACUCUGGUUCCACAGAGAAGAGAUUGGCUCACCUUUCUGAAGUUUCCCAUGAAGCUAGAGGGCAGUUUGAUCUCGGACUUAGUAAAUACCCUACAGAAACCUUUCCUGUCUUCCCCACAAGCUAAACCAUGCUCUAGUCUACCUUGAAUAAGACCUAGUGCAAUGCCCAGCAGGAACAGAGCACCACGAGAAAUACUUUACUUAUGCUAAAGCAAUAAUUCUGGGAAAUAAAAGGUCCUGUGUUCCAUUCCCUCCA